UCUAUUUGCUUGUAUCUUGGGAGAAGGGGGUAGAGAAGAAGUUGUGUUAUCUCAGUUCAUCAUGUUGCUGCUACCAGAAUGAACUCUUUGAAAAAACACUUUUGAAGAACUGAACAUAUUUGUCCCUGAUAUCAGAUGUCUGCUUAAUCAGGGUGGUGGCUUUUUAUCUAAAAUCCCUGCUUCAUAUGGAGACACAAUGGCAGGAUUGAUAAAUCUGAGGAACAUGGCACUUCCUACUGCACCGAUGCUGUUCU